CUUCCCUAGCAACGGAGUGGGUUUGAGCCGCUGUCCGGCGCGCCUCGGCUCAGGGCCAUCCAGGGAUGCCUCUGCAGGUUAGCAAUUACAGCUGGCAGCAGACAGAGACUGCGGUCUUUCUCUCUCUGCCUCUUCGAGGUGUCUGCGUCAGAGAUGCGGACGUGUUUUGCACGGAAAACUACCUGAAGGUCAACUUUCCUCCGUUUCUGUUCGAGGCGUUUCUCUAUGCGCCUAUAGACGAUGCCAGCAGCAAAGCCAAGAUUGGAAAUGACGCCGUGGUCUUCACCUUAUACAAAAAAAAAGCCGUCCUGUGGGAGACCCUCUGCUUGCGGGGUGUUGACAAAGAGAUGAUGCAGAGGAUAAGAGAAGAAUCUAUUUUACAAGCACAAGAGAGAGCAAAGGAAGCUGUGGAAGCAAAAGCUGUGGCAAGGCGAGAAGAUCAGAAGUACGCCCUGGAUGUCAUGAUGAAGAUUGAAGAAGAAGAGAGGAAGAAAAUAGAAAGUAUUAAAGAAAAUGAACGGAAAAAAGCAACUGAAGAAUUGGAAGCCUGGAAAGAAAAUCGAAGAAAAGCUGAAGAGAAAAAAAAAAUUCAGAAACAAGACAAAUUAUGUCAAAAGAAGCAAAUGGAAGAAGAAAGGAAGAAAUUCAAACAUAAGGGUCUUAUUAGAAAUGUAGCACCCAGCAGUCUGACCCCGAAAGGGAGAGAGUCAGGCAAUAUAUUCUUUGAGAAGUUGAAGGAAGACAGCAUUCCUGCUCCUCGCUCUGCUGGCAGUAUCAAGAUCAACUUUACCCCUCGGGCAUUCCCCACAGCUCUUCGUGAAUCUCAAGCAGCGGAAGAGGAGGAGUGGCUGCACAAACAAGCUGAGGCACGAAGAGCAAUGAACACUGAUAUUCCUGAGCUUUCUGAUUUAAAGGAAGACGAAAAGAAUCCAGAGUGGUUGAAGGACAAAGGAAACAAAUUGUUUGCAAUGGAAAACUAUCUGGCAGCCAUCAAUGCAUACAACUUAGCCAUACGCCUGAACAAUAAGAUCCCACUACUGUAUCUGAAUCGAGCUGCUUGCCACCUAAAACUAAAAAACUUACACAAGACGAUUGAAGAUUCUUCUAAGGCACUGGAAUUACUGACCCCACCUGUUGCUGACAAUGCAAGUGCAAGAAUGAAAGCUCAUGUGCGACGGGGAACAGCAUUCUGCCAGCUAGAAUUGUAUGUAGAAGGACUACAGGAUUAUGAAGCUGCACUUAAGAUUGACCCAGCCAACAAAACUGUACAACGUGAUGCUGAGAAGAUUCGGAAUGUGAUUCAAGGAACAGAAGUGAAAUCUUAAUGACCGCUUGAUAUUCCUAGCUAAACAAGGUGGCUGUGUGGUUACAGAGGGACAGAAGAAAGCAGAAACAGAGAACAAAGAGUUCUUGCAGAGUCACUUUCGUUUCUAAGAUGAGGACGGAACAAUAGGUUUCCUGGAAUGUGGUGGUCUGGCUGCUUCUGAACACAGCGUUACAAGACAGGCUUCUCUGGAGCUGUGUCCUAUUUCAGAUUCCCAGCCCUGUUCCUGUUUUGUUGUGGUUUCCCCAUCCCAGCUGUAUUGCCUA